AUUAAAAGGAAAAGGGGGGCUGCUAUUCAUUCCUUGGUUGUCUACCUAAAUGAAAAAGAAGAAGAUCUUUUCAAAGAACUGGUGGAUGAAGAUGCUGAUAUCACCAGGGAAGUCUUGAAAAUUUCCAUCGCAAGAGGGACUACACCAGUUCAUGCAGGAGUGGUGAUCGAGGAAACAGAAGUCCUUGGAGACCUGGAUGCACCCAGAGCCUGUGCCUUGCUUAUGGGACUGAUAUAUGCCCUGAACAUCAGUAAAUCAAAAAGUCUAAAGAACACCUUGCAGGUCUUUCAGAAAGUUUUCUUUGAGCUUGAUGCCCUGAAAGGGUGAAGAACUACUUGGCAGUAAGUGUUCUAAAACAGUGGUGUAAAACUUCAUACCUGGAGGGCCGACGUCCUGCUGGUUUUCCAGAUCUUUCUGCAUCAUGUUCACCUGGUCUUGUGUGUCCAGCAAGAAUGAGGAAAAAAAGAGGACAUUUGGAGGAAGUGAGAGCCUCAGUUUCUUUGUUUCCACCAACAUCCUUUUUUCUGCCUCUGAUUGGCUGAACACACGUGACCAGGUGAUUAAAAGGAAGUACAACAAGGAAACCUGGAAAACCAGCAGGGCAUCAGCCGUUUUGCUUGGAAUAUUUACACCUGUGCAUUGAAAUCGGUUAUUGUGCUGCUAAUUUUUUGUUGCCGAUGUGCAUGUAGCAGCUACACCUUUAAGCAGUUUCAAUUGUAAGCCUAACAAAAAUGUUUUAUGUUUGACUUUUGAAGGUGUUAUUUGUCACUGAAGUAUUUCUUUUACUUUGUACAUUGUAUGCAGGAGAUUAAAUAUUGUUAGAGUCACUACCAAUCUUUACAUUCUUUUGAAUCUUUAAUUUUUGAGAAGCAACGAGAAAUGAGUAUAAAGGCGGAUUAUCGUUUCUUAAUUUUGUGAAGUAUUGGAUGGUGUAUGUUUGAAAAAUACUGUUUCUUUUCAUAAUAAACAAUUGAAGCAAAAACGAGAA